rnacentral:rRNA from 1 species
CCUACGGGUGGCAGCAGUGAGGAAUAUUGGUCAAUGGGCGAGAGCCUGAACCAGCCAAGUCGCGUGAGGGAGUACUGCCCUAUGGGUUGUAAACCUCUUUUGUCGGGGAGCAAAAGCCGGACGUGUCCGGCUGUGAGAGUACCCGAAGAAAAAGCAUCGGCUAACUCCGUGCCAGCAGCCGCGGUAAUACGGAGGAUGCGAGCGUUAUCCGGAUUUAUUGGGUUUAAAGGGUGCGCAGGCGGAUUUUUAAGUCAGCGGUCAAAUCGUGGGGCUCAACCCCAUCCAGCCGUUGAAACUGGGGAUCUAGAGUGUGCGAGAGGUAUGCGGAAUGCGUGGUGUAGCGGUGAAAUGCAUAGAUAUCGGGAAGAACACCGAUGGCGAAGGCAGCUCUCUGGGCCGUCACUGACGCUGAGGCGCGAAAGCUGGGGGAGCGAACAGGAUUAGAUACCCGGGUAGUC